rnacentral:lncRNA from 1 species
CACGGAUCUUCAAAAAGAAAGGAAAAUCAAGAGGUUGAGAAUACAAGAUAAAGACUUAAAAAUCUGAUAAAGGAAUGUUAUUCAGUGUAUACAAAGAACUCUUAAAACCCAGUGAUAAUGAGCAAAAGAUCUGGACAGCUAACCAAAGAAAAUAUCCAGAAGGUUUGUCUGCUGCUCACUGAUGCCCAAAUGGGCCCCUGCAGAGCGAUCUAUGGGCUGCAUCACCAGUUUCCACUUGUCUUUUGGCUUCCAGUUGUGUUUACACUCAUCCAAGAUUGAGAAUCUAGUAGAAAGUCAGAUGUAGUGUUUAUUUUUCUGAAUCCUUCUAUGCCGGGCACAGUCACAGACCUGUGGUUGACUAUUUUUUCAUGGCCAUGUAUCCUGCUGAGCUCUGGCAACAAUGUCCCCCAUUUACCCCUUCAGGGGGAAGUAACUGUUCCUUGCUCUUGCUAGUCUCAGUGUACUUUAUCAUUUAUUAUUAUUUCUCUUAUCCUUGUGCAAACAUUUGUAAAUAUUCUCUUCAUUAAACUAUCUUCUUGUAAACCUUUUGAAUGUACAGUCUAUUUUCUGCCAAGUCCAUGUUUGUUAAAUUGAGCAAACAAGUUUUGUCUUUAUAAACCACUAGAAUAAUUCAGUAGGAGAACAGGACAAUUGCCAUUUCAGCAUUUCGUCUUGCCUAUCUAUUGGCAGUUAGACUUAUUUAUUAAACAUUAGAAAAAACUCCUCUCAUUUUUGGCAAAUACUUGGCAUAAUUUACUGUUAAAAAUUCACAUAUAAAUAUGUGCAAUGUAAUUAAAAGGCAUUGCUCAGUCAUAAAAUAUUGCAGACAUGGUCCCUAGAGAGGCCUGAAGCUGGGUUGUCAAAAAUGUUCUAUCUGGAAAAGAUGCAUCAUUCCAUCUUGCAGAAAAUUAUUAGAAUGGCUCUGUGGUAAUUUUGUGCUAGUUAUACGUAAUUGAUGAUGAGACAGGCACAUAGCUGGUUUUCAGAAUAGGUAAAUGCUCUUGCUAGUCUACGUAGCUUUUUUGUGUCAUUUUAAAAAUAAAAAUAAAAAACAAUACUUCUGCUUUGGGCAAUAUUAUUUAUAUGAGCACAAGAUUUAGGGAGCAGGAAACACAUUUCUAUGAAGAAAACCAAUAUCCUUUGGUUUGGGUAGACCCGCUCUCACAAGAAGUUCUAAG